AAUUCGUGAUGCGGGUAUUGUUGUAGAAGUCCCUUGAAUCUAUCUCAUGUCUCGAACAAAGAUUCUCCGUUCUUUUGUGAGAAAUUUGUGAUUUGAUUCAUGAGGU